GGACCCCGCCUCUUUGGAACGCGCCGGCGGCAGCGGCGGUGGCCCCUGACAGCAGCGGUGAUGGCGGCGGCGGGUCUGGCGCUGCGCGGGGCGCUCGCCCCCGGGGCGGCCGCGGUGGCUGCGGCGUCGGUUCGCUGCCGCGGCGGGCUCUGGAGCCGCCUGCCCCCACUGCCGGCCGCGCCCUGCCGCUCCGCGGCGCACUUCGCUUUCCAGCCGGACCCGGCGCCCAGCGCGUACGGGGAAACUCAGAAGAUGAAUCUCUUCCAAUCCAUAACAAGUGCCUUGGACAAUGCUUUAGCCAAAGAUCCGACUGCAGUAAUAUUUGGUGAAGAUGUGGCCUUUGGUGGGGUCUUCAGGUGUACAGUUGGCUUGCGAGACAAAUAUGGUAAAGAUAGAGUUUUCAACACCCCGUUGUGUGAACAAGGAAUUGUUGGCUUUGGUAUUGGAAUUGCUGUUGCAGGAGCCACAGCCAUUGCAGAAAUUCAGUUUGCAGAUUACAUUUUUCCAGCAUUUGAUCAGAUUGUUAACGAAGCAGCAAAAUAUCGUUACCGCUCUGGAGAUCUGUUUAAUUGUGGAAACCUCACCAUCAGAGCCCCGUGGGGCUGUGUGGGUCAUGGUGCACUGUAUCACUCUCAAAGUCCCGAAGCUUUUUUUGCUCACUGCCCAGGAAUAAAGAUUGUUAUUCCAAGGAGUCCUCUUCAGGCCAAAGGAUUGCUUCUGUCAUGCAUAGAGGACAAAAAUCCCUGCAUAUUCUUUGAACCUAAAAUACUUUACAGAGCUGCAGUGGAACAAGUUCCGGUGGAGCCCUACACCAUUCCACUAUCUCAAGCUGAGGUGCUGCAGACGGGCAGUGAUGUGACACUCGUGGCUUGGGGCACUCAGGUACAUGUAAUCAAAGAAGUGGCAUCAAUGGCUCAAGAAAAGCUUGGUGUGUCCUGUGAAGUGAUUGAUCUGAGGACCAUCUUACCCUGGGAUACAGAGACUGUUUGUAAGAGAAGGUGGGCAGGGGUGCACUCAUGGUACCAGAGGAGGAUUGUGCAGCAGGACAGCCUCUCCUGUCACGCUCGUGUGCUAAGUCGGUGGCAAAGACUGGGCGAUUGCUGAUUAGCCAUGAGGCUCCUUUGACGGGAGGAUUUGCGUCUGAAAUCAGCUCCACAGUUCAGGAGGAAUGCUUUUUGAAUUUAGAAGCUCCUAUUACAAGAGUAUGUGGCUAUGACACUCCCUUCCCUCACAUCUUUGAGCCUUUCUACAUCCCAGACAAAUGGAAAUGCUAUGAUGCUCUUCGAAAUAUGAUUAACUACUGAGCAGUAGUACAGAGAUGAGAGGAACGACAGAGAAAUACAGAAGCCACCUUCAAAACUCUUGACACUUUACACAGAUCUUUUGGGUUUGGAAUUCACAGAGCAGACUGUUUUCUCUGAACUCAGCUAUCCUUAAUAUUCAUCUUGGCUGUUCUUCAGAAAGUUAAAAUCUUCCUUAAUUAUGAAAUCAGUGAUGGGCAGCUGAUUGCUAUAUAAGUAGUUUCAGAUGCAUUUAAAGAUAUUUCAGAUGUCAUAUGAAUGUUAGACAUUGCCAUGCUUCACAAGGUUACAUCUCUAAACUUCACUGUGUAAAUAUUAGAAGCAAGAUUUUAUUCAAUAAAACAUAUUAUGCACA